GUCUAUGGCCAUACCACCCUGAAUGUACCCAAUCUCUUCUGAUCUUGAAAGGGAAGCAGUGUCGGGCCUGGUUAGUACUUGGAUGGGCAACCUUUUCAUUAGAUGUCUUUAGUCAGUAUCUGCU
rfam:Fukomys damarensis contig72889, whole genome shotgun sequence.